rnacentral:rRNA from 1 species
AACCAGCCAAGUAGCGUGCAGGAGAGGCCCAUGGGUUGUAAACUGCUUUUACAGGGGAAUAAAAAGGAGCACGUGUGCUCUGUUGCAUGUACCCUGCGAAUAAGGACCGGCUAAUUCCGUGCCAGCAGCCGCGGUAAUACGGAAGGUCCUGGUGUUAUCCGGAUUUAUUGGGUUUAAAGGGAGCGUAGGCCGUAGAUUAAGUGUGUUGUGAAAUGUAGUCGCCCAACGUCUGCCUUGCAGCGCAAACUGGUUUACUUGAGUACGCACAACGCAGGCGGAAUUCGUCGUGUAGCGGUGAAAUGCUUAGAUAUGAUGAAGAACUCCUAUUGCGAAGGCAGCUUGCGGGAGCGUUACUGACGCUGAGGCUCGAAAGUGCGGGUAUCGAACAGGAUUAGAUACCCUGGUAGUCCGCACGGUAAACGAUGGAUGCCCGUUUUUGGCUUAUUUAAGCCAGAGACCAAGCGAAAGCAUUAAGCAUCCACCUGGGGAGUACGCCGGCAACGGUGAAAC